AUCUUGAAAGAUUUUAAAGCUCGGGAUUUUCCCUCUAGGUUUGGGUUCAAUGCUCUGCAUUUUUUGACUUUUCCACCCCGGGAGGCGGAAAUGUCACCGUGGGAACCCCGGGAAUGGCACCGGAGAGCGGCACGGGCCGGGCUCUGCCACGGCAUUUUCUGAGCCCCAUAGAGCCGCCACCUGCACCCGAGAAAUGGUCAUGAAAUCCCGAGAAAUGGUCAUUAAAUCCCGAGAAAUGGUCAUGAAAUCCCGAGAAAUGGUCAUUUAAAUCCCGAGAAAUGGUCAUUUAAAUCCCGAGAAAUGGUCA